GGGUGAGUAACACGUGGGUAACCUGCCCUAAAGUGGGGGAUAACAUUUGGAAACAGAUGCUAAUACCGCAUAAAACCUAACACCGCAUGGUGUAGGGUUGAAAGAUGGUUUCGGCUAUCACUUUAGGAUGGACCCGCGGUGCAUUAGUUAGUUGGUGAGGUAAAGGCUCACCAAGACCGUGAUGCAUAGCCGACCUGAGAGGGUAAUCGGCCACACUGGGACUGAGACACGGCCCAGACUCCUACGGGAGGCAGCAGUAGGGAAUCUUCCACAAUGGACGAAAGUCUGAUGGAGCAACGCCGCGUGAGUGAAGAAGGUUUUCGGAUCGUAAAACUCUGUUGUUGGAGAAGAAUGUAUCUGAUAGUAACUGAUCAGGUAGUGACGGUAUCCAACCAGAAAGCCACGGCUAACUACGUGCCAGCAGCCGCGGUAAUACGUAGGUGGCAAGCGUUGUCCGGAUUUAUUGGGCGUAAAGCGAGCGCAGGCGGUUUCUUAAGUCUGAUGUGAAAGCCUUCGGCUCAACCGAAGAAGUGCAUCGGAAACUGGGAAACUUGAGUGCAGAAGAGGACAGUGGAACUCCAUGUGUAGCGGUGAAAUGCGUAGAUAUAUGGAAGAACACCAGUGGCGAAGGCGGCUGUCUGGUCUGUAACUGACGCUGAGGCUCGAAAGCAUGGGUAGCAAACAGGAUUAGAUACCCUGGUAGUCCAUGCCGUAAACGAUGAGUGCUAGGUGUUGGAGGGUUUCCGCCCUUCAGUGCCGCAGCUAACGCAUUAAGCACUCCGCCUGGGGAGUACGACCGCAAGGUUGAAACUCAAAGGAAUUGACGGGGGCCCGCACAAGCGGUGGAGCAUGUGGUUUAAUUCGAAGCAACGCGAAGAACCUUACCAGGUCUUGACAUCCUUUGACCACUCUAGAGAUAGAGCUUUCCCUUCGGGGACAAAGUGACAGGUGGUGCAUGGUUGUCGUCAGCUCGUGUCGUGAGAUGUUGGGUUAAGUCCCGCAACGAGCGCAACCCUUAUUACUAGUUGCCAGCAUUUAGUUGGGCACUCUAGUGAGACUGCCGGUGACAAACCGGAGGAAGGUGGGGACGACGUCAAAUCAUCAUGCCCCUUAUGACCUGGGCUACACACGUGCUACAAUGGAUGGUACAACGAGUUGCGAGACCGCGAGGUUUAGCUAAUCUCUUAAAACCAUUCUCAGUUCGGAUUGUAGGCUGCAACUCGCCUACAUGAAGCCGGAAUCGCUAGUAAUCGCGGAUCAGCAUGCCGCGGUGAAUACGUUCCCGGGCCUUGUACACACCGCCCGUCACACCAUGAGAGUUUGUAACACCCAAAGCCGGUGAGGUAACCCUUCGGGGAGCCAGCCGU
rnacentral:rRNA from 1 species